UACGUAGGGGGCUAGCGUUGUCCGGAAUCAUUGGGCGUAAAGCGCGUGUAGGCGGCCCGGUAAGUCCGCUGUAAAAGUCGGGGGCUCAACCCUCGAAAGCCGGUGGAUACUGUCGGGCUAGAGUGCGGAAGGGGCAAUCGGAAUUCUUGGUGUAGCGGUGAAAUGCGUAGAUAUCAAGAGGAACACCUGAGGUGAAGACGGGUUGCUGGGCCGACACUGACGCUGACAGCGCGAAAGCCAGGGGAGCAAACGGG
rnacentral:rRNA from 1 species